rnacentral:rRNA from 1 species
UACGAAGGGAGCUAGCGUUGUUCGGAAUUACUGGGCGUAAAGGGCGCGUAGGCGGGAUGGCAAGUCGGUACGUCGAAAUCCCUCGGCUCACCGAGGAACGUCGAUCGAUACUGCUGUUCUUGAGGGAUUGCAAGAGGAGACUGGGAAUUCCUGGAUGGUAGCGGUGAAAUGCGGCAGAUAUCAGGAGGAACACCGAGUGGCGAAGGCAGGUCUCUGGGCGAUUAAACUGACGCUGGAGGAGCGGAAAGCCAUGGGGGAGCGAACAGG